UACGUAGGGUGCAAGCGUUUGUCCGGAAUUUAUUGGGCGUAAAGGGCUCGUAGGCGGUCCAUCGCGUCGGGGAGUGAAAAGCUGGGGCUCAACCCCAGUCCUGCUUCCGAUACGGGUGGACUAGAGGUAUGCAGGGGAGAACGAAUUCCUGGUGUAGCGGUGAAAUGCGCAGAUAUCAGGGAGGGAACACCCGGUGGCGAAGGCGGUUCUCUGGGCAUUACCUGACGCUGAGGAGCGAAAGCGUGGGGAGCAAACAGG
rnacentral:rRNA from 1 species